rnacentral:rRNA from 11 species
GAAUUCAGCGUGAACGUUUUCUUAAAGGCACCAGAUCCCUUCUGAUCAUGAAAGCUAAGCAGGGGCGGCCCUGGUUAGCCCUUGGAUGGGAAACUUCCAAGGAAUCCCAGGCGUCUGUAUUUU